GGAAGAUAUUAUUAUGAUUUAUUAUUUUUAGGAGGAUUUUUCGAUUUUUCACACACUCUUCGGCAAUCAUAAUCUCAAUGUUAAUCCUGGAUUACGCUCGAUCUAAUCCUUGUUAAUUUCAGUGAAAUAUUUAUGUAGAGCGCCAGCCUAAUGAUAAUUACUUUAACAAAGUUUGCAGGUUUUUUUGCAGUUGUCCUUCACGUAUUGAUUGCUUCUACAUAUGCGCGUCCAUCCUGAACAUCGGCUGCUUUUAUCACUGCAGCUGGGCCCAAUUCCACCGCAAAGACGACAUGUCUUCUUGCAGUUCUUCUUCACGUAAUCAUUGCUUGAACAGUAUCUCGUCCAUCCAGAGCAGCUUUGUAACGUGUCUUGGCAAUUACCUGUGUAGAAACGACAGGUCAUAACAUGACGUUAAGAUUACCCAGAGCAACCUAUACGAACAGGUUGCAUGAAUGGCUGAUUAUAAAAAUGAA